UAGUAAUUUAUUAAAAGUAAGUUNUGCCCUAUGAAUAGUUAAAUGGCUGCAGUAUACUGACUGUGCAAAGGUAGCAUAAUAAUUAGUCUUUUAAUUGAAGGCUGGUAUGAAUGAAUACAUGAGGGAUUUAUUUUAUUUCUUUUAAUUUUAAAACUUGAUUUUUUAGUAAAAAAGCUUAAAUUUUUUUUUGGGACGAUAAGACCCUAUAGAACUUUAUUUUUAUUUAUAAUCUUUAAUAUCUAGUUUAAUUUAUUAUUGAUUUAAUUAAAUUUUUUACUGGGGAGGUAAAUAAAUUUGACUUUAUUUAAAUUUUUCAUUUAUUUAUGUUUAUUUGAUCCAUUUAUGAUUAUAAGAUUAAGUUACCUUAGGGAUAACAGCGUAAUUUUAAUGGGGAGUUCUUAUUUAUAUUAAAGUUUGCGACCUCGAUGUUGAAUUAAGAUAAUAUUAAGGGGCAG
rnacentral:rRNA from 1 species